rnacentral:rRNA from 1 species
CCUACGGGAGGCAGCAGUAGGGAAUCUUGCGCAAUGGGCGAAAGCCUGACGCAGCCAUGCCGCGUGAAUGAUGAAGGUCUUAGGAUUGUAAAAUUCUUUCACCGGGGACGAUAAUGACGGUACCCGGAGAAGAAGCCCCGGCUAACUUCGUGCCAGCAGCCGCGGUAAUACGAAGGGGGCUAGCGUUGCUCGGAAUUACUGGGCGUAAAGGGAGCGUAGGCGGAUAGUUUAGUCAGAGGUGAAAGCCCAGGGCUCAACCUUGGAAUUGCCUUUGAUACUGGCUAUCUUGAGUUUGGGAGAGGUGAGUGGAACUCCGAGUGUAGAGGUGAAAUUCGUAGAUAUUCGGAAGAACACCAGUGGCGAAGGCGACUCACUGGCCCAAUACUGACGCUGAGGCUCGAAAGCGUGGGGAGCAAACAGGAUUAGAUACCCUGGUAGUCCACGCCGUAAACGAUGAGUGCUAGUUGUCGGCAUGCAUGCAUGUCGGUGACGCAGCUAACGCAUUAAGCACUCCGCCUGGGGAGUACGGUCGCAAAGAUUAAAACUCAAAUUGAAAUUGACCGGNUGAGAGNGCGAGGACGACGACGAGGGAGGAGG